UAGGGAAUAUUGGGCAAUGGACGAAAGUCUGACCCAGCCAUGCCGCGUGCAGGAUGAAUGUUCUAUGAAUUGUAAACUGCUUUUUUACGGAAAGAAACCUCUGGAUGCGUCCAGAGCUGACGGUACCGUAAGAAUAAGGAUCGGCUAACUUCGUGCCAGCAGCCGCGGUAAGACGAAGGAUCCAAGCGUUGUCCGGAUUUACUGGGUUUAAAGGGUGCGUAGGCGGAAAUUUAAGCCAGUGGUGAAAGCCUCCCGCUUAACGGGAGAACUGCCAUUGGAACUGGAUUUCUUGAAUAUAGUUGAGGUAGAUGGAAUAUAGCAUGUAGCGGUGAAAUGCUUAGAUAUGCUAUAGAACACCAAUUGCGAAGGCAGUCUGCUAAACUAUCAUUGACGCUGAGGC
rnacentral:rRNA from 1 species